GCCAGUGGUGAACUCCACAUACGCAUCCUUUGCUGAGGAUACGGUUAACGGAGCGAAAGCGACGUUCAACCGCAAAAGAAGCAGAGGGGGCUUAGUGGUGGGGUGACUGCGUACCUUUUGUAUAAUGGGUCAGCGACUUAUAUUCUGUAGCAAGGUUAACCGUAUAGGGGAGCCGCAGGGAAACCGAGUCUUAAUUGGGCGUUAAGUUGCAGGGUAUAGACCCGAAACCCGGUGAUCUAGCCAUGGGCAGGUUGAAGGUUGGGUAACACUAACUGGAGGACCGAACCGACUAAUGUUGAAAAAUUAGCGGAUGACCUGUGGCUGGGGGUGAAAGGCCAAUCAAACCGGGAGAUAGCUGGUUCUCCCCGAAAGCUAUUUAGGUAGCGCCUCGUGAAUUCAUCUCCGGGGGUAGAGCACUGUUUCGGCUAGGGGGCCAUCCCGGCUUACCAACCCGAUGCAAACUGCGAAUACCGGAGAAUGUUAUCACGGGAGACACACGGCGGGUGCUAACGUCCGUCGUGAAGAGGGAAACAACCCAGACCGCCAGCUAAGGUCCCAAAGUCAUGGUUAAGUGGGAAACGAUGUGGGAAGGCCCAGACAGCCAGGAUGUUGGCUUAGAAGCAGCCAUCAUUUAAAGAAAGCGUAAUAGCUCACUGGUCGAGUCGGCCUGCGCGGAAGAUGUAACGGGGCUAAACCAUGCACCGAAGCUGCGGCAGCGACGCUGAUGCGUUGUUGGGUAGGGGAGCGUUCUGUAAGCCUGCGAAGGUGGCCUGUGAGGGUUGCUGGAGGUAUCAGAAGUGCGAAUGCUGACAUAAGUAACGAUAAAGCGGGUGAAAAGCCCGCUCGCCGGAAGACCAAGGGUUCCUGUCCAACGUUAAUCGGGGCAGGGUGAGUCGACCCCUAAGGCGAGGCCGAAAGGCGUAGUCGAUGGGAAACGGGUUAAUAUUCCCGUACUUGGUGUUACUGCGAAGGGGGGACGGAGAAGGCUAUGUUGGCCGGGCGACGGUUGUCCCGGUUUAAGCGUGUAGGUGUGUGUUCCAGGUAAAUCCGGUUCACUUUAACACUGAGGCGUGACGACGAGGCACUACGGUGCUGAAGCAACAAAUGCCCUGCUUCCAGGAAAAGCCUCUAAGCAUCAGGUAACAUCAAAUCGUACCCCAAACCGACACAGGUGGUCAGGUAGAGAAUACCAAGGCGCUUGAGAGAACUCGGGUGAAGGAACUAGGCAAAAUGGUGCCGUAACUUCGGGAGAAGGCACGCUGACACGUAGGUGAAGUGAUUUACUCAUGGAGCUGAAGUCAGUCGAAGAUACCAGCUGGCUGCAACUGUUUAUUAAAAACACAGCACUGUGCAAACACGAAAGUGGACGUAUACGGUGUGACGCCUGCCCGGUGCCGGAAGGUUAAUUGAUGGGGUCAGCGCAAGCGAAGCUCCUGAUCGAAGCCCCGGUAAACGGCGGCCGUAACUAUAACGGUCCUAAGGUAGCGAAAUUCCUUGUCGGGUAAGUUCCGACCUGCACGAAUGGCGUAAUGAUGGCCAGGCUGUCUCCACCCGAGACUCAGUGAAAUUGAACUCGCUGUGAAGAUGCAGUGUACCCGCGGCAAGACGGAAAGACCCCGUGAACCUUUACUAUAGCUUGACACUGAACAUUGAGCCUUGAUGUGUAGGAUAGGUGGGAGGCUUUGAAGUGUGGACGCCAGUCUGCAUGGAGCCGACCUUGAAAUACCACCCUUUAAUGUUU
rnacentral:rRNA from 1 species